rnacentral:rRNA from 1 species
UAGGGAAUCUUCGGCAAUGGACGAAAGUCUGACCGAGCAACGCCGCGUGAGUGAAGAAGGUUUUCGGAUCGUAAAACUCUGUUGUUAGAGAAGAACAAGGACGUUAGUAACUGAACGUCCCCUGACGGUAUCUAACCAGAAAGCCAUGGCUAACUACGUGCCAGCAGCCGCGGUAAUACGUAGGUGGCAAGCGUUGUCCGGAUUUAUUGGGCGUAAAGCGAGCGCAGGCGGUUUCUUAAGUCUGAUGUGAAAGCCCCGGGCUCAACCGGGGAGGGUCAUUGGAAACUGGGAGACUUGAGUGCAGAAGAGGAGAGUGGAAUUCCAUGUGUAGCGGUGAAAUGCGUAGAUAUAUGGAGGAACACCAGUGGCGAAGGCGGCUCUCUGGUCUGUAACUGACGCUGAGGCUCGAAAGCGUGGGGAGCAAACAGG